GACGAACGCUGGCGGCGUGCCUAAUACAUGCAAGUCGAGCGCAGGAAAUAAACAGAGCCCUUCGGGGUAAUGUUUAUGGAAUGAGCGGCGGACGGGUGAGUAACACGUGGGCAACCUGCCUGUAAGAUCGGGAUAACUCGCGGAAACGUGAGCUAAUACCGGAUAACACUUUUCAUCUCAUGGUGAGAAGAUAAAAGACGGUUUCGGCUGUCACUUACAGAUGGGCCCGCGGCGCAUUAGCUAGUUGGUGAGGUAACGGCUCACCAAGGCGACGAUGCGUAGCCGACCUGAGAGGGUGAUCGGGCCACACUGGGACUGAGACACGGCCCAGACUCCUACGGGAGGCAGCAGUAGGGAAUCUUCCGCAAUGGACGAAAGUCUGACGGAGCAACGCCGCGUGAGUGAUGAAGGGUUUCGGCUCGUAAAACUCUGUUAUUAGGGAAGAACAAAUGUGUAAGUAACUGUGCACGUCUUGACGGUACCUAA
rnacentral:rRNA from 1 species